UAGGAAUCUUGCCACAAUGGCGAAGCCUGAUGGAGCAACGCCGCGUGAGUGAGGAAGGCUUUCGGGUCGUAAAGCUCUGUUGCCAGGGAAGAAUAAGGAUCAUUUAACUGAUGAUCCGAUGACGGUACCUGAGAAGAAAGCCCCGGCUAACUACGUGCCAGCAGCCGCGGUAAUACGUAGGGGGCAAGCGUUGUCCGGAAUUAUUGGGCGUAAAGCGCGCGCAGGCGGCUCUUUAAGUCUGGUGUUUAAGUGCGGGGCUCAACCCCGUGACGCACUGGAAACUGGGGAGCUUGAGUGCAGAAGAGGAGAGCGGAAUUCCACGUGUAGCGGUGAAAUGCGUAGAGAUGUGGAGGAACACCAGUGGCGAAGGCGGCUCUCUGGACUGUAACUGACGCUGAGGCGCGAAAGCGUGGGGAGCAAACAGGAUUAGAUAGCCCUGGUAGUCCACGCCGUAAACGAUGAGUGCUAGGUGUUGGGGGUAUCAUGCCCUCGGUGCCGAAGUUAACACAUUAAGCACUCCGCCUGGGGAGUACGGUCGCAAGACUGAAACUCAAAGGAAUUGACGGGGUCAU
rnacentral:rRNA from 1 species